UGUAAGCGUAUACCAAAGUUGUUGCAGUUAAAACGCUCGUAGUCGGAAUUUGGCAGUUCCGGAUGUGUGCACGUCGUGUGCGCACUUCGCGGGGAUUGCUUUUGUGGUCUUGCGUAGGAUGCGGCACUUUUAUUAGUGAACGUCCUCACGCAACCACUUUUUACUGUGAGAAAAUCAGAGUGCUCAAAGCAGGCAUUUGCCGUGAAUGUAUUAGCAUGGAAUAAUAGAAUAGGACUUGGUUCUAUUUUGUUGGUUUGUUGGGACUGAGUAAUGAUUAAGAGGGACAGUUGGGGGCAUUUGUAUUUCGGUGCUAGAGGUGAAAUUCUUAGAUUACCGAAAGACAAACUGCUGCGAAAGCGUCUGCCAAGGAUGUUUUCAUUGA
rnacentral:rRNA from 1 species